GGAGACAAACACUCCUUUCCUCCUUCCCACUCUGGCAGUGGGCUGGAGUCACAGUUGCUCACCUCUGCAAUGAAGCAAGGUCCCAGAACUUGAGCCUUGGAAGUGAAAUCUGCUCAAGGCAAAGAUCCAAGUCUUCAUUCUGCUUGAACGGAAGAACGAGAUUAAAAGAGAAAAAUGGCUGCAUUGAGGACAGAAGACAGAACUCCAUUUCACCUCAGUCUGUUUCAGCAGUUAAUUUCUUCUCAAGAGGGACAUUAAGUCUUUUUACCUGGCAGACAGGCUCUGGCUGUUGAAACCCGGUGUGGGGCAUGGAAUGGAAUGAAUGAUUAUAUUUUACAUUAGUCAGAAAGAGACAAGAAAUCCUCCAUCCAAGCACCACAGUGCUGUGCCAAAGUACGAUGAUGACUUCACACUUCAGCUAAUUCACAUCUGCAAGGGGAGAAAACAAUUUGCAACUGAAUCCAGCCUCACUAAUGCCAUCCCCAAAAUUCCCCUUGGUUAUCAGCCAUUCUGGAGACUGCUGGGUAAAUCCAAGUUUUGUCUUAAUAAAUGUAGAUAUGCUAUGAUAUGACAUGCAAAUGCAAUGUGCUACAUAUUUAUUGACUUGUGUAUUGACUUUAUAUUUAUGAAGAGUUUGUGUAGCUCAUGGAUCAAAUCAAAUCCAC
rnacentral:lncRNA from 1 species